AUCCAGAUGACGAGUCCAAAAUAGGACGAAAUGCGUAUGUCCUGGAU
rnacentral:hammerhead_ribozyme from 1 species